UACGGGGGGAGCAAGCGUUGUUCGGAUUUACUGGGCGUAAAGGGCGCGUAGGCGGCCAGUACAAGUCAGUUGUGAAAUCUCCGAGCUUAACUCGGAACGGUCAACUGAUACUGUGCGGCUAGAGUGCAGAAGGGGCAACUGGAAUUCUUGGUGUAGCGGUGAAAUGCGUAGAUAUCAAGAGGAACACCUGCGGCGAAGGCGGGUUGCUGGGCUGACACUGACGAUGAGGCGCGAAAGCUAGGGGAGCGAACGGG
rnacentral:rRNA from 1 species